AAUAGAUCUCUCGUUAUAACCAUUUCAUAUGACUUAGAAAGAAAAAAAAAAUACUGUAAUUGAUCAAAUCUCAGUAACUACACAUUUCAAGCUAUAGUUUAAACUAGAAAAAUAUAUAAGAAGCGAAAAGCGAAAGAAAAAAAAAAGGAUUUUGAUAGAAAUGGCAACCAACAGAGAUUAAAGUAACAUACAUGAAGAAAAUAACCCAUCAUAAUGAUCUAUAAUUAUGGACCAGGCUUUAGAUGGCCAGCAUCAACACUGUAACUUGCAGCUUUCAUAUGACCAUUUUCAGAUGGUUUGUGUCCUCUACCAUCUCCAUUUCCACCUGGUCUAUCUAUUGGGAAUCCUCUGUCGAACCCAAACUCAAGGUCCCCUAC
rnacentral:misc_RNA from 1 species